rnacentral:snRNA from 1 species
CAAUGUGAGGGUGAUCUGGCUGUGACAUCUGUCACCCCAUUGAUUGUCAGGGUUGAUCUGGCUGAUUAGGUGGAUGUCCCCUUCCUCCCUCACCUUUCCAUCUGCUUUCUUCCUGAAACUGCAUGCUCGGUGGAAGAAGAUGGCCAUCUUAGAUAGAAGGAAGGUACAAUUCUUUGGUCAAGGGUAUGUGACAGCUGCGCUCCCUGCUGAAACCUCCAAACAAAUUGUAUCAUUCUGAAGUGGCUAAAACUUUUUUCAUUUGUCAGUUAUUUGCUUGUUAAUGUAAACAGGC